rnacentral:ncRNA from 2 species
UCAAUCAGCUAGGGGUCCACGCCAUUUUGCUGUUUUCAAUGGCGUGGUGAGAAACACCCUUUGAACCUGAUCCGGUUCAUUCCGGCGUAGGGAAGCUAUGAGCCAGCCUC